GAUGAACGCUAGCGGCAGGCUUAAUACAUGCAAGUCGAGGGGCAGCACGGGUAGCAAUACCUGGUGGCGACCGGCGCACGGGUGCGUAACACGUAUACAACCUACCUUAAACAGGGGGAUAGCCUUUCGAAAGAGAGAUUAAUACCCCGUAAUAAAUUGAAUGGCAUCAUUUGAUUUUGAAAGCUCCGGCGGUUUGAGAUGGGUAUGCGUCCUAUUAGCUAGUUGGUGGUGUAANGGACCACCAAGGCGACG
rnacentral:rRNA from 1 species